UGAAUCGUAGCGUUGAGAACUUUGCUGACCUGUAAAAGGGUAUGUGCACGUUCUUUGUGUUGCGUUUUAUUGUUUUCCCCCUGUGCACCUUUGUAGACUUGGUUAAGGAUGUCGCUGUUGAGUGGUUAGAAGGGUUGCUCUUGAGCUCCCUUUGGUUUCGAACGGUUGCUUUGUUAGCUUCCUUUGAUUUCGAAUGGUUGCUUUGUUAGCUCCCUUUGAUUUCGAAUGGUUGCUUUGUUAGCUCCCUUUGAUUUCGAACGGUUGCUUUGUUAGCUCCCUUUGAAUUGUUUUCACUCUGAAGUGGUUAGAAGGGGUUGCUCUCGAGCUCCCUUUCUUUGUCUACCAAGUCUAUGUCUAUAAUCUCUUGUAUGUCUAGAAUGUCUUGUUUAUUGGAUGCUUGCGUCCUUUAAAUGUUAUACAACUUUCAACAACGGAUCUCUUGGCUCUCGCAUCGAUGAAGAACGCAGCGAAAUGCGAUAACUAAUGUGAAUUGCAGAAUUCAGUGAAUCAUCGAGUCUUUGAACGCACCUUGCGCCCUUUGGUAUUCCGAAGGGCAUGCCUGUUUGAGUGUCAUUAAAUUCUCAACCUCGCCUUCUUUUACUAGGAGUUGCGAUGGAUUGGAUAUGGGGGCUUGCCGGUCUCUAACGAGAUCAGCUCCUCUGAAAUGCAUUAGCAGAAACCGUUUGACUUUGGCUGCUAGGCUGUGAUAAUAUCUACGCCUUGGUGGUUGAGUCGAGUACACAAGUCCUACAACAAGUAUCCUUACUUGCUCUCUUUGACUUUGUAUAAGGAUUCAGCUUCUAACGGUCCAUUGAGUUGGACAAUUUAUUGACUAUUUGACCUCAAAUCAGG
rnacentral:rRNA from 1 species